rnacentral:rRNA from 1 species
AAAAGAAAUUCGGUGCAGGAUGAGUCCGCGUCUGAUUAGCUAGUUGGAGGGGUAAGAGCCCACCAAGGCAACGAUCAGUAGCCGGCCUGAGAGGGCGACCGGCCACAUUGGGACUGAGACACGGCCCAAACUCCUACGGGAGGCAGCAGUGGGGAAUAUUGCACAAUGGGGGAAACCCUGAUGCAGCGACGCCGCGUGAGCGAGGAAGUAUUUCGGUAUGUAAAGCUCUAUCAGCAGGGACGAAAAAAGACGGUACCUGACUAAGAAGCCCCGGCUAACUACGUGCCAGCAGCCGCGGUAAUACGUAGGGGGCAAGCGUUAUCCGGAUUUACUGGGUGUAAAGGGAGCGUAGACGGCAAGGCAAGCCAGAAGUGAAAGGGCAGGGCUCAACCCUGUACAUGCUUUUGGAACUGUGGUGCUAGAGUGCAGGAGAGGUAAGUGGAAUUCCUAGUGUAGCGGUGAAAUGCGUAGAUAUUAGGAGGAACACCAGUGGCGAAGGCGGCUUACUGGACUGUAACUGACGUUGAGGCUCGAAAGCGUGGGGAGCAAACAGGAUUAGAUACCCUGGUAGUCCACGCUGUAAACGAUGAGUACUAGGUGUUGGGGGCUGAAGCCUUCG